rnacentral:rRNA from 1 species
GGUUAAGCGACUAAGCGUACACGGUGGAUGCCCUGGCAGUCAGAGGCGAUGAAGGACGUGCUAAUCUGCGAUAAGCGUCGGUAAGGUGAUAUGAACCGUUAUAACCGGCGAUUUCCGAAUGGGGAAACCCAGUGUGAUUCGUCACACUAUCAUUACGUGAAUACAUAGCGUAAUGAAGCGAACCGGGGGAACUGAAACAUCUAAGUACCCCGAGGAAAAGAAAUCAACCGAGAUUCCCCCAGUAGCGGCGAGCGAACGGGGAGCAGCCCAGAGUCUGAAUCAGCUUGUGUGUUAGUGGAACGGUCUGGAAAGUCCGACGGUACAGGGUGAUAGUCCCGUACACCAAAAUGCACAGGUUGUGAACUCGAAGAGUAGGGCGGGACACGUGGUAUCCUGUCUGAAUAUGGGGGGACCAUCCUCCAAGGCUAAAUACUCCUGACUGACCGAUAGUGAACCAGUACCGUGAGGGAAAGGCGAAAAGAACCCCGGCGAGGGGAGUGAAAAAGAACCUGAAACCGUGUACGUACAAGCAGUGGGAGCCUCUUUAUGGGGUGACUGCGUACCUUUUGUAUAAUGGGUCAGCGACUUAUAUUCUGUAGCAAGGUUAACCGUAUAGGGGAGCCGAAGGGAAACCGAGUCUUAACUGGGCGUUAAGUUGCAGGGUAUAGACCCGAAACCCGGUGAUCUAGCCAUGGGCAGGUUGAAGGUUGGGUAACACUAACUGGAGGACCGAACCGACUAAUGUUGAAAAAUUAGCGGAUGACUUGUGGCUGGGGGUGAAAGGCCAAUCAAACCGGGAGAUAGCUGGUUCUCCCCGAAAGCUAUUUAGGUAGCGCCUCGUGAACUCAUCUUCGGGGGUAGAGCACUGUUUCGGCUAGGGGGUCAUCCCGACUUACCAACCCGAUGCAAACUGCGAAUACCGAAGAAUGUUAUCACGGGAGACACACGGCGGGUGCUAACGUCCGUCGUGAAGAGGGAAACAACCCAGACCGCCAGCUAAGGUCCCAAAGUCAUGGUUAAGUGGGAAACGAUGUGGGAAGGCACAGACAGCCAGGAUGUUGGCUUAGAAGCAGCCAUCAUUUAAAGAAAGCGUAAUAGCUCACUGGUCGAGUCGGCCUGCGCGGAAGAUGUAACGGGGCUAAACCAUGCACCGAAGCUGCGGCAGCGACACUAUGUGUUGUUGGGUAGGGGAGCGUUCUGUAAGCCGUUGAAGGUGGCCUGUGAGGGUUGCUGGAGGUAUCAGAAGUGCGAAUGCUGACAUAAGUAACGAUAAUGCGGGUGAAAAACCCGCACGCCGGAAGACCAAGGGUUCCUGUCCAACGUUAAUCGGGGCAGGGUGAGUCGACCCCUAAGGCGAGGCCGAAAGGCGUAGUCGAUGGGAAACAGGUUAAUAUUCCUGUACUUGGUGUUACUGCGAAGGGGGGACGGAGAAGGCUAUGUUAGCCGGGCGACGGUUGUCCCGGUUUAAGCAUGUAGGCGGAGGUUCCAGGUAAAUCCGGUACCUUUUAACGCUGAGGUGUGAUGACGAGGCACUACGGUGCUGAAGUAACAAAUGCCCUGCUUCCAGGAAAAGCCUCUAAGCAUCAGGUAACACGAAAUCGUACCCCAAACCGACACAGGUGGUCAGGUAGAGAAUACCAAGGCGCUUGAGAGAACUCGGGUGAAGGAACUAGGCAAAAUGGUGCCGUAACUUCGGGAGAAGGCACGCUGAUAUGUAGGUGAAGCGGUUUACCCGUGGAGCUGAAAUCAGUCGAAGAUACCAGCUGGCUGCAACUGUUUAUUAAAAACACAGCACUGUGCAAACACGAAAGUGGACGUAUACGGUGUGACGCCUGCCCGGUGCCGGAAGGUUAAUUGAUGGGGUUAUCCGUAAGGAGAAGCUCUUGAUCGAAGCCCCGGUAAACGGCGGCCGUAACUAUAACGGUCCUAAGGUAGCGAAAUUCCUUGUCGGGUAAGUUCCGACCUGCACGAAUGGCGUAAUGAUGGCCAGGCUGUCUCCACCCGAGACUCAGUGAAAUUGAACUCGCUGUGAAGAUGCAGUGUACCCGCGGCAAGACGGAAAGACCCCGUGAACCUUUACUAUAGCUUGACACUGAACACUGGUCCUUGAUGUGUAGGAUAGGUGGGAGGCUUUGAAGUGUGGACGCCAGUCUGCAUGGAGCCAUCCUUGAAAUACCACCCUUUAAUGGCUGGUGUUCUAACGUGGACCCGUUACCCGGGUUGCGGACAGUGUCUGGUGGGUAGUUUGACUGGGGCGGUCUCCUCCUAAAGAGUAACGGAGGAGCACGAAGGUUAGCUAAUCCUGGUCGGACAUCAGGAGGUUAGUGCAAAGGCAUAAGCUAGCUUGACUGCGAGAGUGACGGCUCGAGCAGGUGCGAAAGCAGGUCUUAGUGAUCCGGUGGUUCUGAAUGGAAGGGCCAUCGCUCAACGGAUAAAAGGUACUCCGGGGAUAACAGGCUGAUACCGCCCAAGAGUUCAUAUCGACGGCGGUGUUUGGCACCUCGAUGUCGGCUCAUCACAUCCUGGGGCUGAAGUAGGUCCCAAGGGUAUGGCUGUUCGCCAUUUAAAGUGGUACGCGAGCUGGGUUUAGAACGUCGUGAGACAGUUCGGUCCCUAUCUGCCGUGGGCGCUGGAGAAUUGAGGGGGGCUGCUCCUAGUACGAGAGGACCGGAGUGGACGCAUCACUGGUGUUCGGGUUGUCAUGCCAAUGGCAUUGCCCGGUAGCUAAAUGCGGAAGAGAUAAGUGCUGAAAGCAUCUAAGCACGAAACUUGCCCCGAGAUGAGUUCUCCCUGAGACUAUAAGUCUCCUGAAGGAACGUUGAAGACGACGACGUUGAUAGGUCGGGUGUGUAAGUGUAGCGAUACAUUGAGCUAACCGAUACUAAUGAACCGUGAGGCUUAACCUU